CCUACGGGAGGCAGCAGUGGGGAAUAUUGGACAAUGGGCGAAAGCCUGAUCCAGCCAUGCCGCGUGUGUGAAGAAGGCCUUCGGGUUGUAAAGCACUUUCAGUGGGGAAGAAAGCCUUGGGGCUAAUACCCUCGAGGAAGGACAUCACCCACAGAAGAAGCACCGGCUAACUCCGUGCCAGCAGCCGCGGUAAUACGGAGGGUGCGAGCGUUAAUCGGAAUUACUGGGCGUAAAGCGCGCGUAGGCGGUCUGAUAAGCCGGUUGUGAAAGCCCCGGGCUCAACCUGGGAACGGCAUCCGGAACUGUCAGGCUAGAGUGCAGGAGAGGUAGGUAGAAUUCCCGGUGUAGCGGUGAAAUGCGUAGAGAUCGGGAGGAAUACCAGUGGCGAAGGCGGCCUUCUGGACUGACACUGACGCUGAGGUGCGAAAGCGUGGGUAGCAAACAGGAUUAGAUACCCCUGUAGUC
rnacentral:rRNA from 1 species